GGAAACUGAAUUUCUUUAAAAAUAACUGCAGCAAGUGGGGAAAUUUUGGCUAAAAACAAAAAGAAGGAAGAAAAGAUGGAUAGUAGAAAAUCGAAAAAACACAAAAAGAAAGGAGGAAGAAAACCUCUUCAGCCAAAAAUUCUAUUAUGGCUGAAAUUCCUCAAGAUAGUGCCCAUAUCCCCCCAAAACACUCCCCUCAAUCCAUAAUCCUUAAAAUCUCUC
rnacentral:lncRNA from 1 species